rnacentral:rRNA from 1 species
AAAAGAAACCAACAGGGAUUGCCCCAGUAACGGCGAGUGAAGCGGCACCAGCUCAAAUUUGAAAUCUGGCUCCCUCCGCGGGGGCCCGAGUUGUAAUUUGGAGAGGAUGCUUCUGGCGCGGCGCCGUCCGAGUUCCCUGGAACGGGACGCCGGAGAGGGUGAGAGCCCCGUACGGGCGGACGCCAAGCCUCUGCGAAGCUCUUUCGACGAGUCGAGUAGUUUGGGAAUGCUGCUCUAAAUGGGAGGUAAAUUUCUUCCAAAGCUAAAUACCGGCCAGAGACCGAUAGCGCACAAGUAGAGUGAUCGAAAGAUGAAAAGCACUUUGAAAAGAGAGUCAAACAGUACGUGAAAUUGUUGAAAGGGAAGCGCCUGUGGCCAGACUUGCGCCCCGUGGACCACCCAGCGCUCCGGCGCCGGGGCACUCCGCGGGGCGCAGGCCAGCAUCGGCUUCUCUGGGGCCACAAAGGCCGCGGGAACGUAGCGCCCUUGGGCGUGUUACAGCCCGCGGUGUCAUGUCCCCGGGGGGGCCGAGGA